AGCAGCCGCGGUAAUUCCAGCUCCAAUAGCGUAUAUUAAAGUUGUUGCAGUUAAAAAGCUCGUAGUUGAAUUUCGGGAUCAGUACGCCGGUCGUGCCUCCGGUAUGUACUGGUGUUACUGGUUCCUACCUUCUGACGAACCGUCAUGUCAUUAAUUUGGUGUGGCGGGGAAUCAGGACUGUUACUUUGAAAAAAUUAGAGUGUUUAAAGCAGGCUCGCGCUUGAAUACAUUAGCAUGGAAUAAUGAAAUAGGACGUUCGAUCCUAUUUUGUUGGUUUCUAGGAUUGACGUAAUGAUUAAUAGGGAUAGUUGGGGGCAUUAGUAUUCAAUUGUCAGAGGUGAAAUUCUUGGAUUUAUUGAAGACUAACUACUGCGAAAGCAUUUGCCAAGGAUGUUUUCAUUAAUCAAGAACGAAAGUUAGGGGAUCGAAGACGAUCAGAUACCGUCGUAGUCUUAACCAUAAACUAUGCCGACUAGGGAUCGGAUGAUGUUAUUUUUAAUGACUCAUUCGGCGCCUUACG
rnacentral:rRNA from 1 species